AGAGUUUGAUUAUGGCUCAGGAUGAACGCUAGCUACAGGCUUAACACAUGCAAGUCGAGGGGCAGCAUGAAACUUAGCUUGCUAAGUUCGAUGGCGACCGGCGCACGGGUGAGUAACACGUAUCCAACCUACCGUUUACUACGGGAUAGCCUUCUGAAAAAGGAGAUUAAUACCGUAUGGCAUUCUAAAGUUUCAUGACAUUAGAAUUAAAGGUUUACCGGUAAUCGAUGGGGAUGCGUUCCAUUAGAUAGUAGGCGGGGUAACGGCCCACCUAGUCAGCGAUGGAUAGGGGUUCUGAGAGGAAGGUCCCCCACAUUGGAACUGAGACACGGUCCAAACUCCUACGGGAGGCAGCAGUGAGGAAUAUUGGUCAAUGGGCGAGAGCCUGAACCAGCCAAAAGUAGCGUGAAGGAUGACUGCCCUAUGGGUUGUAAACUUCUUUUAUAAAGGAAUAAAGUGGUCCACGUGUGGAUUUUUGUAUGUACUUUAUGAAUAAGGAUCGGCUAACUCCGUGCCAGCCGCGGC
rnacentral:rRNA from 1 species